AGAUCUGCCAAUAAAGCCUUGGCCUUGGUCCCAGGCAGGAGAGUCAGCUAUUUGAGUGCUGGGUGUUGCCUGACCUGGGCUCUGAGGACAAUCUACAGAGAGGCUCUGUGAUUGUCACAUGCUUGUGCUCUGUGGGUCAGUCUGGCUGGGAGGCAGCAGCCUGACGUUCUGGGCCGUGGCAUCAGGCUUCCUUCUUUGGCAAGGUCGUCAGCUCUGGAGGGGGUCAGACCUCUUUCCACUUCAUUUCCACACGUGGUCUCUUUUAUGCAAUGGGAGGAUGUAGACUGCGCCUAUCUGCACAAGGCGGACCUGGAGGCCAACGUGGAGCCGCUGAGGGAGGAGCCAGUCUUCCUGCAGUCCCUCUACGAGGAGUGGUGAAGAUGGACAACAGCCAGGAGCUCAACAUGGACUUGGUUGUGGCCAAGAUCAAGGCUCAGUAUGAUGAUAUUGCCAGUCGCAGCCGGGCGGAGGCCGAGACCUGGUACCAAACCAAGGUAGUCUGGAGGGCAGGACUGUCCCACUGAGACAGGAGGAUAGUUGUGAGCCUCGAGUUUCUCUGGGAAACACACUUCUGCACUCUAGAGGGGCUGCCACUGUGGUCCCGGGUAGAGCAGGGCCAGAAGGCAGGAGAGCUGCGGAACAGCAGUCUGGCUGAUUGGGUCGGGAACAGCAGCUUCUAGCCAUUGUUUCUGCGUGUUUGCCUCUCAACCCACAGUGCGAGGAGGUGAAGGCCACAGUCACCCAGCAGGGUGAGAACCUCCCGCAGAACAAAGGAUGAGCUCAAUGAGCUGAACUGCAUGAUCCAGAGGCUGACGGCAGAGGUGGAGAACGCCAAGCAGCAGGUUGGGGGGCGCUGAGACCCCACUCCAUACACCUGCCGCUUCUUGUCUGGUUCCUGCCUCCCUUCUAUCUUCAGGGACUGCUAUCAUCUUUGGAGAGGCGUGUAUGUGAACUGUGCCAGAGUACACUACUAUAAUCAGCAUGCAAGGGCUCCUGUUCCAACACCUGCUAUUUGGUUAUAGCUAUGUGAUUUUAAAGUUGAUUUAGCAUAUUGUGCUAUGUGUACUGUGGCCAUUGACCUUUUAAGAGACUGCCUCCUCUUGGCAUUUAAAACACUUCCAAAUUCUUGUGGAUCUGAUAGGUGUAAACCGGCACCUAAUUGUUAUUCUAAUUUUCAUUUCUUUGGUUAACCAGUGAUAGGAAAUCUUUCCCCAUACACUUACUAGUUAUUUGUAUUCCCCUUCUAAGAACUGUCUACUCAUAUAUCUGCCCAUUUUUCUAUUGUGGCUCCCUUCUUUUUUCUUGGUGAUUUGCAGUAUUCCUUUGUCCAUUCUAUCUGGAUUGUAAGCCUUCGUCAGUACACAUGUUGCAAUUAACUUUCCCUCAGUCUAUCACUUGUCUGUUUGUCCUUUGUUGAACCCAAACCUUUAAGCUGGAU
rnacentral:lncRNA from 1 species